rnacentral:rRNA from 1 species
UACGUAGGAGGCGAGCGUUGUCCGGAGUUACUGGGCGUAAAGGGUGCGCAGGCGGUGGUGCGCGUGGAUAGAUGAAAUCUCCUGGCUUACCUGGAGGAUGGUAUCCAGACGGCAUCACUUGAGGGUCGGAGAGGGGCGUGGAAUUCCGGGUGGAGCGGUGAAAUGCGUAGAGAUCCGGAGGAACACCGACGGCGUAGGCAGCGCCCUGGACGACACUGACGCUGAGGCACGGAAAGCUGGGGAGCGAACGG